UGGACUCUAGCUGUAAACAAGCCAGGCUAGAUCACAGAUGGGAAUAAUUUUCCUUUUGAAACUGGAAAGUCUGGAAUAUUGAGUGACUUGGCUGCUCUCAUUCGCCUAGCCUGGAGGAAGACUGCUGACGAAAAAUUACAAACAAGCACACAAAAUUACAUUCGUAAACAAAACAUUUUGUGUGAAUGGAUUCUUCACCUAGACCACCGAGAAGAUUUUCCCGGUGGCAAACAACAAAGCGAACAUUCAAGUUUGGUGAAAUUGCAAUCAACAACAAUUGUUCUGAUGCAACAAAAAUUUCACAGCCUACUAAGGGCGACAAUGGGAUUGUCAAGAAUAGAAACUGUGGUUCCAGCCCAGUUAACCUAAAACCUGAUGCCAUAAGUCCUCCAAAGGAACAGCAGGCAGCUCAAAACGCUGCAUGCACUAAUGGUAAUCUCAGUGAUACAAGUGUCCGUAGUGCAGACAGCCAGUCCAUCAAGAACAAAAGUCUGGAGCAGCGCACUUGCUAUGUUGCUCUUGGGAGCAAGUGCUCGUUGGUCAAACCAACCGAGACUCAGAAAGAAAAAACAAAUACAGUGACUGAAAAAUCUAACGUGCCUCCUAGUGAUAUUGAGAAAUCAACACCUCAAAGUAGUGUUUCAAAAGACCAGCCUUCCAUAAAUUCUGUUCACAGUGCUUCAAACAGUUCACAUGAAAAUAACACAUCGGCAAAGGAGCCCAAGAAAGUGAAACGACGGUUGAUAGUUACUGAGGAUUAUUCACAGAACUCCGCCACUGACAAAGAGAAUAAGGCUGAUAGCCAGCCUUUUUCCCCGUUUAAAAAAUCACGACUUGCUGACACUUCAAAAGUUAAAAAUGUGUCAAACAUUUCAGACGAGGCAGCAACUCCAGACAUUUCUGUGACUGGGAACUCCAGGCAGAGUUUCCUCAGGGACAGGAGUUUGUUGACUCCGGCUGAGAAACUGAUGAAAAAUCGCCAGUACCCCUACUCUGUUUCUCGCAGUAAAGGUAAAACCAUUCAAGAAAAGAAAACAACGAAGCAAAAGACAAUUAAGGACAAUUUAGUUAAACUACCAUCUACAUCCAAACAGGAGAUGAAGUCAAAGAAUAAUCAUCAGGUGGAUAAAUCAGACAAAAAAGUUGUAGGUAAGGAUGACACUUUACAAAUACAGGAUGUUUUAGCUGCUGAUUCAAAAAAUAACCAUGAUGCAUCAACCAAUCAUAGUGAAAAAAAUCGCUCGUACAAAAAUUCUCCCCCUCACCUGCCAAACGGAACUGAAAAGCAAGACACCGUGGGGAGGCGAGGUCUGCGCGACCGAAGCCUUCUGCCCACACCUGAAAGUGUCCAGCAGCAUAGGCAGUACCCAAUGGAGUUUUACUUUUCAGCCAAACAGCUCUCUGACCACAGCAGUUCAACUAUCUCAAACGCCAGUCUGAAAAAAACACCACCUCACACAGAGCCACCUUCCAAGGUCAAGGUGAAAACUAAAAAUAAAAAACCAGAGGAGAAUGAUAAACAGGCAACUGUAGGCAAAAAAGUGCCUACACCGAGCCAUUCAGUGUCAGUAAAUAAGCAUAGUGAGACAGACGGUGAGGAAAAUUUGGAAUUUAUGAACUAUGACCAUAAAAAAUUUUCUUCUAGAAAAACAAAAAGAGGCUCUAUGGAGAGUGAUUUCAACUCUGACAAGGAUGAUAAAGUUAAUAAAAAAAUAAAUAAAAAGAGCCCAGAGUUGUCACUUGAUACAAAUUCAUUCAACGGUGGUCCUAGCAAACAGAAAAUGGGAGCUAAACAUAAAUCUUCAGUCACAGCGCUGAUCCCCAGCCAUGUAAGGCAGUGUUCUCUUAGUACAUCUAACUCUAAACAUACUAGUCAAACUGAGACAUUCGGUAAAAAGAAGAGUUUCAGCCAUGACAAAGUGGCCACAAACAAAAGGAAAGUUGCCUCAUCAAGCAGUGAUGUAACUAGUGAUUCUAACUGUGAUUCUAUGGAUGAUGAAAUACAGCCAACAUUGCAUGAUAAACCACCUACGCAAUUAAGUCUAAAUCACCCUCGUACCUCAUCAAAUUUACCGGUCUGUAAAACUAAAGCUGCCCAUAGACAAAAGUCAUCGGUGGUUAUUGACAAACUUCAUAUACUCAGUGUUGCACCAUCUCAUGGAAAGAAAAAACUCAAGGCUGUGAAGGAACAAUCAAAAGGAAAAAAGACAAAAUCUGUGACACCUGUUCCUCUGCUGGCAGUGAGUAGGAGUGAGACUUGUCACAAUGACACUAUUGUUGGGACUAAGAAAAUCAUCAGGAAAAGGAAUCUGUACAGUGAGAUGGAGCAGUUGGAAGAGUCCUACAGUUCUUCCAGUGAUGAUGAGAGAGGCAAAGAUAAGAUGGUGCGUCUGUGGUGUCCUGGAGAUCACCAUAGGAGGGGGACAGACAUAACAGCUUAUGAUGUUGUUUUACAAGCUGUUAUGGACACUGAAGAUUUAUUAUGCAAACAGGAAACCUUAGCCAGACAAAGAGUGAUUCAAAAGGUCAUGAGGGGUUUCAAAAGCAGUAUCAGAACUAAGAUCUCUAAACUUGUACAAAUGAAAGAGUUACAGAAAACUAUACAACAGAAAAAGAAAGCAUGUAACAAACUCAUGUCCAGCCUAGCAGAGCAAAACAAGAAGAAAGCUGAGUUGCAGAAAAUCAUUCGCUCCAUGACAGAUAAUGGGAAAGAUGUCAACAUGUUAAAGAUAGACUUCUGGAUGAAAGGCUAUUCUCAAGCAAUAGCUGGAGUGGAUAUGAGUUCUUGAGGAUACAUAAACUUGUAAAAUUUCAAUGGACAGUACAACAUACAUCUUGUGUUCUAAAGUGGACAUUACCACAAAAAUCUUGUGGCAAGACAAUUGUGAUGAACAUCUGACGACCUUUUUAAUUACCCUGGAUUUAAUGACAACACCUAUUUUUCCUUUAAUUAUAGCUGCGUCAGAGCUUACUGGCUUUUGUGUCACCAACAGUAGCUCUGAAUGUUAUGAUGUGACUCUCCUUUAAGGUCAGUUAUAAUGAAGCUACUUUUAUGUAAUUCACUAUAAAAUAGUCAUCACUAUCCAAAUAUCACGUGUAUAAUAUAUAAAUAUUAUAAAUGUAUUUAUUUAAUUCCCCAUUAGUGCCAUUAGCUAUUUUGUUUUUUUUUUGUUGUCAUAGGACUAGGUAAAGAAGAAUUUUUAAAAGCUGUAUGCAUAAAUACAAUUUUUAAAAAAAGAAUUUUAGCUGAAUAAAGGUGGCAUUAUUUUUGUAUUGUAAUUCCUAAUAAGUUUUUUUUAUAUUAAAGUGACAGCUUGUUUCUAGAUUGGAAACUCAGUCCUUGAUAACCAGAUUAAACAUCUUUGACAUGGGCUUUGUUCAACAAGGGGGGAUAACAAUGUUAUAUGUUUAAAUGUUUUGUAACUCAAGUGAGUCAUUUACCCUUAGUUCUUUAGAUUUGGUACAGUUAGUACGCUAGUAAUUACUUCUUUUCUAAAAUAUUUGACCCACUACUGAAUGUUCAAAUGAUAAGUAGAUUAUGCAAUGAGCACUGUGUAUUUUUGUCCUGUCUGUCAAUUGUAAAUAUUCUCACCUGUUAGUUCCUCACCAUAUGACCUCCCCACUGAUCUGACCUUAUGCACAACGAUCAGGCUGUAUUCCACAGAACAGGCUGUAUUCCACAACGAAUAAAAUUGCACAUCAAGCCUUUAAAAUUCCUUUUUUUUGUUCUUUCAUAAAACUUAACAAAGCAUAUUGUCUUUAAACUGAAGGUAUAUGAAUGUUAUCUAAAUAAAAGGAACUUCCUAAAACAAUGCCGGACAUAUGCAGUAGUUUUUUUCUUACCCUACCUGACAAAACCAUUAUCCAUGACCCAGGCUAUUAAUUUAGAAUAGAUUUU